rnacentral:rRNA from 1 species
UACGUAGGGGGCGAGCGUUGUCCGGAUUUAUUGGGCGUAAAGAGCGUGUAGGCGGCUAUACAGGUCCGCUGUGAAAACUCGAGGCUCAACCUCGAGACGUCGGUGGAAACCGUAUGGCUAGAGUCCGGAAGAGGAGAGUGGAAUUCCUGGUGUAGCGGUGAAAUGCGCAGAUAUCAGGAAGAACACCCGUGGCGAAGGCGGCUCUCUGGGACGGUACUGACGCUGAGGCGCGAAAGCCAGGGGAGCGAACAGG